AUACGGAGGGGGCUAGCGUUGUUCGGAAUCACUGGGCGUAAAGCGCGCGUAGGCGGAUUGGUCAGUUGGGGGUGAAAUCCCGAGGCUCAACCUCGGAACUGCCUCCAAAACUGCCAGUCUCGAGUCCGGGAGAGGUGAGUGGAAUUCCGAGUGUAGAGGUGAAAUUCGUAGAUAUUCGGAGGAACACCAGUGGCGAAGGCGACUCACUGGCCCGGUACUGACGCUGAGGUGCGAAAGCGUGGGGAGCAAACAGGAUUAGAAACCCUUGUAGUCC
rnacentral:rRNA from 1 species